rnacentral:rRNA from 1 species
UACGUAGGGUGCAAGCGUUGUCCGGAUUUAUUGGGCGUAAAGAGCUCGUAGGCGGUUUAGAAAGUCAGGUGUGAAACCUCCAGCUCAACCUGGAGACGCCACUUGAUACUUCUAUGACUUGAGUUCGGUAGGGGACCAUGGAAUUCCUGGUGUAGCGGUGAAAUGCGCAGAUAUCAGGAGGAACACCGAUGGCGAAGGCAGUGGUCUGGGCCGAUACUGACGCUGAGGAGCGAAAGCGUGGGGAGCGAACAGG